rnacentral:rRNA from 1 species
GAAGGCGUAGCAAUUCGCUUGUAAAGUGGCGGACGGGUGAGUAAUACAUGGGUAACCUACCCUUGAGUGGGGAAUAACCAGCCGAAAGGUUGGCUAAUACCGCAUACGAUUCCCGGACUGCGGUUCGGGAAAGAAAGCGUUACCGUGGGUAGCGCGCUCUUGGAUGGGCUCAUGUCCUAUCAGGUUGUUGGUGAGGUAACGGCUCACCAAGCCUUCGACGCAUAGCUGGUCUGAGAGGACGAUCAGCCACAGUGGCACUGCGACACGGGCUAGACUCCUACGGGAGGCAGCAGUAAGGAAUAUUCGGCAAUGGGCGAAAGCCUGAGCGAGCGACGCCGCUUGGGGGAUGAAGCCCUUCGGGUUGUAAACCCCUUUGGGCGGGAAGAUGGAACGGGUAACCGUUCGGACGGUACCUCAGAAGCAGCACCGGCUAACUCCGUGCCAGCAGCCGCGGUAAUACGGAGGUGGCAAGCGUUGUUCGGAUUCACUGGGCGUAAAGGGAGCGUAGGCGGUUGGGCAAGCCCUCCGUGAAAUCUCCGGGCCUAACCCGGAAAGUGCAGAGGGGACUGCUCGGCUAGAGGAUGGGAGAGGAGCGCGGAAUUCCCGGUGUAGCGGUGAAAUGCGUAGAGAUCGGGAGGAAGGCCGGUGGCGAAGGCGGCGCUCUGGAACAUUUCUGA